GGUGUCCCGGGCAGGUUUUGGGCUGUCCCAGAUGAAUUUUGGGGUGUCCCAGGUGAAUUUUGGGGUGUCCUGGGCAGGUUUCGGGGUGUCCUGGGCGGGUUUUGGGUUGCCUGGGUGUAUUUUGGGAUGUUCCAGGCGGGUUUCGGGGUGUCCCAGAUGAAUUUCGGGGUGUCCCGGGUGGAUUUUGGGAUGUCCCAGAUGAAUUUUAGGGUUCCUGGGUGUAUUUUGGGGUGUCCCGGGCAGGUUUUGGGGUGUCCUGGGUGGGGUUUGGGGUGCCCCGGGCAGGUUUCGGGGUGUCCUGGAUGAAUUUUAGGGUUCCUGGGUGCAUUUUGGGGUGU